rnacentral:rRNA from 1 species
UACAGAGGUCCCAAGCGUUGUUCGGAUUCACUGGGCGUAAAGGGUGCGUAGGUGGCUUGGUAAGUUUGAUGUGAAAUCUCCGGGCUUAACCCGGAAAUGGCAUUGAAUACUAUUGAGCUGGAGGUUUGGAGGGGGGACUGGAAUUCUCGGUGUAGCAGUGAAAUGCGUAGAUAUCAGGAGGAAUACCGAUGGCGAAGGCAGGUCUCUGGGCUGACACUGACGCUCAUGCACGAAAGCGUGGGGAGCAAACGAGG